rnacentral:lncRNA from 1 species
AAGAGACAGAUGAGGGAGACACACUUACUUUGCAAAUGCAAUAAUUACAAAUAAGUACUUUCUUUACUUACAGGGUUACCAGCCUCAAGGUGGCAGUUCCUAUGGCCAGGGCUACCAGCCUCAAGGUGGCAGUUCCUAUGGCCAGCAGGGUGGAUAUCCUUCUUCAGGUGGUAGCAGUGGUUGUGGACAAGUAAGUUCCCUUUCUCCAAACUAUUUGAAAACUAAACCCAGCCUUCUGUUUAGUAGUUACAUAUUUUU